GAUCCUGGCCCAGGAUGAACGCUAGCUACAGGCUUAACACAUGCAAGUCGAGGGGAAACGACAUUGGAAGCUUGCUUCCUUUGGGCGUCGACCGGCGCACGGGUGAGUAACGCGUAUCCAACCUUCCCGCAAGUAAGGGAUAACCCGUAGAAAUGCGGCCUAAUACCUUAUGUUUUCCUUAGAGGGCAUCUGAUGAGGAACAAAGAUCCGUCGCUUGCGGAUGGGGAUGCGUCUGAUUAGUUAGUCGGCGGGGUAACGG
rnacentral:rRNA from 1 species